GACGGAGGGGGCUAGCGUUGUUCGGAAUGACUGGGCGUAAAGGGCGCGUAGGCGGUUUUUUAAGUGAGGCGUGAAAGCCCUGGGCUUAACCCAGGAGGUGCGUUUCAUACUGAAAAGCUUGAGUACGAGAGAGGAAAGUGGAAUUCCUAGUGUAGAGGUGAAAUUCGUAGAUAUUAGGAAGAACACCAGUGGCGAAGGCGACUUUCUGGCUCGUAACUGACGCUGAGGCGCGAAAGCGUGGGGGAGCAAACAGGG
rnacentral:rRNA from 1 species